GGAUGCAAGGGCAAUCUGGCUACAGUAGCUGUCACCCCGGUGAUCACCAGGAUUGACUGGGCUGAUCUGGCUGGCUAGGCGGGUGUCCCCUUCCUCCUUCACCACUCCAUGUGUGUGGCUGCUGAAGCUGUGCACUGAAUAACCUUCUCCAGAAGAGAGACCGACCGGUCUUCAGUUGAGGGUAUAUGAGUAGCUACACUCUCCUGCUAGAACCUUCAAAGAAGCCCUCACAUGUCAUUCUAUUUGUAGAGGCUUGUUUAUUUAUUUAUUCCCUUUUGUUGCCCUUGUUGUUUUAU
rnacentral:snRNA from 1 species